ensembl:lncRNA
GGGGGGGGUUUCCCCGCGGGGAGAUGGCGCUGCGCUGCCAGUGACAAACGCGCAGGCUGCUCCGCGGUGAGACCUGCGGGCUGCCGAGUUCCAGCGCCCGAGGGAAGAAUAGUUGCUCUGUAGCUGCUGUGCUGCAGGCGGGAGGAUGACAGCGGCUUGUGAGAGCACGUCCAGGGACGGAGCUUGCGGCUGCGUAGCGCCCGGGUAGAGCCUAGUGCUGGCCGCAGGGCCGCACUGCCCCGACGGUGCAGCCUUGCAGCCCGGGGCCGGUCUGCGUUUGCUCAUGGCAGAGCUGGAGCUGUAGGUCACGGAGGUGGGUGCUGAGAAGCUGAUGUGAGAGCCACUUGCUUCCCAGGUGUCCAGCUAGCUGAAUGCCAGCUGGUUGAGGCACGCCAGGCACGCUUCUGGGUCGUAGAAUGACUGAAUCACAGGAUGGUCUGGUUUGAAAAAGACCUCACGGAUUACACGGUUCCGACCCCCUGCUGUGUGCAGGAUUGCCAACCAGCAGACCAGGCUGCCCAGAGCCACAUCCAACCUGGCAUGGGUCAUACCUUUGGUUUAGUUUCAUCUGAAGGGAUUCGGCUUGUGCAUGCCAAGGCCUCUGGAUAAACUCCUUUGCUGUGAGGGUGGGUGGCCAAAUGCUGAAGGGGCUCCCAGCAAAGUGGAUGGUGCCCCAUGGGUGCUCAGGAGGCCUCUGGGCAAUGCCCUCCUCAACGUGCUCCAACUCCUCCUGGCCUUGACGUGGUUGGGCAGUUGGGCUCAGCCUUUGUAGAUCCCUUCCGAGUGAACUACGCUGAUAGCCCGGCUCAAGCAAGGGAAUAAUAUGUAAGAUGGGUUAUGAUUUCCUUGUUUUUCUGCCUCAGUUGCUCACAGCCAUCGUGAAGAUUUGCCACACUUCUUGCUCAAGCAUGGAGUACAGUCUGCUGAGAGCCACGCUGAACUCCUGGUGGAUUUGCACAGGCACGUGUACCAAAAACAAAAGUGCAAAACCAAGGGAAAGUCAACAGCGGAAGACUUCUUUUCCCUUCCAUCCUCCCAAGCCUGGGAGGAUUUUGUUCAGCUCUUUGGUAGAGCUAACUGGAAGGCCACUACUUCCCUUGGUUGUCUUUUCUGUACGCCAAGAGCCCCGGUUCACCUGGUUCAGAUAUCAGAGCAGGCGUUAACCUGUCUGUGUAGCUUUUCACUGCAGUGCUACCUUUAUCCUUGAAAAAAAUCCGAGUAGAAGCUACAAGGCUGAAGUGAACAUUCCAGAAGGUGCCAGCUAAGAGUCACCUACAGCUACUAACAGAGCUAUCCUACUCUUCUCUCAACCUGUCAGAACAGGAGCCUGGGAGGUCAUAAAGUCACAGGACGGCCCCUAAGGACCACUGAGUCCCAGGAGUUCCAUAGAUGCUGAGCUGCUUUUGGAGUUCAGCUGAUUUUACUGCCUUUUCUCUGGUAGUUGAAGAAGGAGACUGAUAUGCGUAUAAAAACCAGAGGAGAUGGUACAGAGCCCAGAGCGUGGCCUAUGGCAUGCUACUGUCAGCAAGGAAGACUGUUAGGAGCCAGCCUGUGGUACAACAAAAACAACAAGAACAAUGCAAAACUCCAAAGGGAGUCCUUGAGUCCUUGUGGAUGCAUCAAGACUAACCAGAGUCAGAAGCAUUACUUGUUGCACUGUGAUGGUGACCUACUGUGUUGUACCUCCUCUGACUGGUGAUGCACUGGAACAGGUUGCCCAAGGAGGCUGUGGAUGCCCCAUCCCUGCAGGCAUUCAAGGCCAGGCUGGAUGUGGCUCUGGGCAGCCUGGUCUGCUGGUUGGCGACCCUGCACAUAGCAGGGGGUUGGAACUGGAUGGGCAUUGUGGUCCUUUUCAACCCAGGCCAUUCUGUGAUUCUAUCAUUCUGUGAGUCAGCUGGGGGUUGUGCAGGCUCGCACAACUGUGGACUGAGACAAAAAGGCUAAGAGAGAUCUAAUUGGUAAAUUCUGUUAUUGUUUUCAGCAAAACAUUCAGAUAAUCGAGCUAAAGCAUGCAGCUGUGCUCACACAAGCACAAUUCUUGAUAAAAACUUUCUGUGUUUUUCUCCAGAAAAUAUUUGCAUUUUUCUCCUCUUCCCCAUAGUAUCAUUAAUUUGAAUUAAAUAAUAUAUCAAACCAGGCGAACAAGUUACUAUUUAUCAUCAUUUUAAUUUUAAAAUGUUUACUCUAAGCCAGCUUCCAUGCUGGAGUGGAUGAUUGGAGCCCAUUUCUCACUCCCCAGGACGAGGCAUGGGUGUACUCAUAAGAGUUCAAUGUAGGACCAUAACAAUGAUUAGGAACUAGAGCACCUCUCUUGCAAGGAGAAGCUGAGAGAGCUGGAACUGAACACCCAAGGGAGGAUCUUGCCAGGAAGUACAAAUACCCAUAGGGAGGGUGCAGGGAGGACAGAGCCAGGCUCCUUUCAAGGGUGGGAUGAGAGGCAGUGGGCACAAAGGGGAGGACAGGAGGUUCCCUCUGACCACCAGGCAACACUUCUGUGCUGUAGGGGUGAUCAAACCCUGGCACAGGCUGCCCAGAGGCUGCGGGGUCUCCUCCUUCUGGAGGUGUUCAGAAGCUGCCUGGAGUGAUGCUGGGCACCCUGCUCUGCGUGUCCCUGCUUCAUCAUGGCUUAGGCCACGUGGACACACAGCUCCCUGCCAGCCUCGACCGUCCUCUGCUUCCAUUAACCUGUUUUCACCAUGGGUAUGAACUGCUGUCACCUGCUGCGUAUGGCCCUUUCUGUUGAUAAAAUACAUCAUAAUGUGAUUUCCCAGCGUGUCCAACUGUGUUGUAUGAUUCAUCCACCAGAAGAAAUAUCAGAAUUAUUGCCAUAUGCACUCUGUCUUUAAUCUUACAAAAAUAAACUCUGAAGCCAUUGAGGGUGUAGCAAAUUGCUCAGUUGCCCAAAAUAGAACAGUGAUGUGGUAUCCCCUUCUUCAUCACGCAACAGUAACUGAACAAUUCUCUGCUAGUAAUUAAUACAGGAAAAAAAAAAAAAAAGAGCAUAAAAGAAAAGAAAGGCAAAACUUCUGUGGAGGUAAUUAAGAAAAGAUUUUGCAACAUGCAGUUAAACCCCCAAAUCUUAAAUGUCCCAGCCUCAGAGUCAGCUCCAAGAACAACACUGUACUUCAUGAUCUAGCUGCUACAAACAGGACUUUCAGUGGGCUUACCAAAGACCCAAAGACUCUUUUCAUCAAACUCAAGGGAACCGGCAGGGAAAACUGAUUAACUUUUGGACCACUUUCCACUGAAUGAGUUUCUACUGUGAAAUUCAUAAAACAAACAGCCUGAAUGCUUCAGUUCUGUGGCUACCACCAGUUGGGGUUCAUAAGACUACUAUAUAGUUUUUCUCAUGUUUUAAAUGAAGCUGUCAUCCUUUUGCUUCAUCCUCUCUGUAAGAAUGUCACUCAUUCAUUGGGAGUUAUUACUGCAAUACAUGCUGUGUACUUUGUGCAAUAGGCUGUGACAGCAAAAUAAUAUCCAGGACUCUUGGAUCUUGCCCCCCAGAGCUGUGUAUUUUGAUAGGAAGAUGCUCCUGCUGCACUGGAAGAAAAAUUUGUCUUACGAUGGUCUAUAGGUUGCUGUUUGACUUUCUUUUCCAGGGUUAGGCAUUCUGGUUAUUUCGGUGUCAUAACAGAAGCAAGUCUAGAGGUGAAGGACAGAAUCAAAAUCAGUAUGGAUAUUAACAUUACAGGUCGUACGGUAUAUCGAUUUUCUAUCUGAAGUCUAUGCCCAUACUUCCUCCAUGUAGGAUCAAGGCCUGUUUUUUUAACUGGCUUGGUUUCAUCAUUUGGAGGAUGCCCCAUGGGCUGUGUUAAUGAUAUUCAUAAGAGGCUCUGGAGAAAAACACUGUAAGGGAGAAGCCAAGUGCCACUAUUUCUUUCCACCUUGUUCUUAAUGUUUAUUCUUGGCCAAAUCCCCCCUGAAAUGUUAAUGGAAUAAAAUCUGAGUAAAACUUCAGUGAUGUCUUUGGUACCUCACCUUUCUAUUUAUUUUCUGAUAGCACAUAAUUGUUGGCUGGACAAGAACAGGUUCCUGUUACAUUACCAAUUACCUGGCGAAAUUAUCCUAUGUACGUGACAGCUGAAGCCCUGAAGGGCAUAGCACUUCUGCAAACCCUUUUUUGGAAGACGUACUCAAAAAUGAGUGUUCUGGGCUGCAUGUUAAAUGCUGUUUGAGGACUGCUUGACUGUACGUACGCUUACAAGUUUGGACUAUAUAAAUGUGUGCAGAGAUGUUUCGAAACGAGCCAGAUCUGCUUAUUAUUCCAGCUUAAUUGCCGGGCGGGCAGACUGCCCUACUCUCUUGUAACUUUUUAUUGCAAGGAAGCUGUCUAAUCUGGCUCUUCCUCCACCAACAGAGCUUUUGUGAACUGUUCACAUUCUGCUUUGAGAACAGAAUUAAGAUCACUGGGAGUCAGCUGCCCUCUAGCAAACCUGCCAACACUAACAAUUCCAUAAUUCCAAAUACUGAGCCUGUCACAAUUCUCAGGCUACAAACACUUUCGGCAUUUAAUGCUCCAAAGCCUCAGGGCACUAUUAUGUUUUGCCAGAUCUUUGGUCUAAGCAGUUACAGUUUUUCUUAAUUCUCUAAUCCCUCUGGGUUCUCACGUUGUUAAUCUUUCUUUGAUGAUGGAGAAAUUCUUAUUAAUGACACAAAGUAAAACAAUUAUCAGUCCAGUUUCAAAGGAAAGAAAGAAUCUGUUAGCAGUAGAAGAUCCAGCAAGUUUUCCAUCUAACAUUCAAUCAUCAUUCCUUUUUUUUUUUUUCCUUUUUAG